GUCGAACGCUUCUUUCCUCCCGAGUGCUUGCACUCAAUUGGAAAGAGGAGUGGCGGACGGGUGAGUAACACGUGGGUAACCUACCCAUCAGAGGGGGAUAACACUUGGAAACAGGUGCUAAUACCGCAUAACAGUUUAUGCCGCAUGGCAUAAGAGUGAAAGGCGCUUUCGGGUGUCGCUGAUGGAUGGACCCGCGGUGCAUUAGCUAGUUGGUGAGGUAACGGCUCACCAAGGCCACGAUGCAUAGCCGACCUGAGAGGGUGAUCGGCCACACUGGGACUGAGACACGGCCCAGACUCCUACGGGAGGCAGCAGUAGGGAAUCUUCGGCAAUGGACGAAAGUCUGACCGAGCAACGCCGCGUGAGUGAAGAAGGUUUUCGGAUCGUAAAACUCUGUUGUUAGAGAAGAACAAGGACGUUAGUAACUGAACGUCCCCUGACGGUAUCUAACCAGAAAGCCACGGCUAACUACGUGCCAGCAGCCGCGGUAAUACGUAGGUGGCAAGCGUUGUCCGGAUUUAUUGGGCGUAAAGCGAGCGCAGGCGGUUUCUUAAGUCUGAUGUGAAAGCCCCCGGCUCAACCGGGGAGGGUCAUUGGAAACUGGGAGACUUGAGUGCAGAAGAGGAGAGUGGAAUUCCAUGUGUAGCGGUGAAAUGCGUAGAUAUAUGGAGGAA
rnacentral:rRNA from 1 species